UACGUAGGGGGCAAGCGUUAUCCGGAUUUACUGGGUGUAAAGGGAGCGCAGGCGGUAUGGCAAGUCAGAUGUGAAAACCCAGGGCUCAACCCUGGGACUGCAUUUGAAACUGCCAUACUGGAGUGCCGGAGAGGUAAGUGGAAUUCCUAGUGUAGCGGUGAAAUGCGUAGAUAUUAGGAGGAACACCAGUGGCGAAGGCGGCUUACUGGACGGUAACUGACGCUGAGGCUCGAAAGCGUGGGGAGCAA
rnacentral:rRNA from 1 species